CAUCCUUGCAUAGCAUUCGCCAUCUUUUCUUUUGUCUGUUGUAAGAGAUUUUGGAAGUAAAGGGGAGGUCUUGGCAAGUUGAUCAUUAAGGUUUAUUUACUUUCAAAACUAUCAUCCCUCAAGCCAAGUUGCCAUGGCCUCGGACACUCAGCCACAGCCAACUGAAGUUCAGGGUGUAAUUACGCCUGCUCUUCAGGUGCCGGUAACUCAAAAUGGGAAAGGAGGUCUGGAAAAACUGGAAAGUAUCCUGGCUUCCUCCGCCUACCUGGAGAUGAUGGAAAGCUGUAAGAACUUCAACAAGCGUCUGCUGGUGGAGCGAAAGGGCCGCGUGCCAUUCAUCGACGCGCAUACUGGGCUGGCGCAGACCGACUGCCGGCUGUGGAUGGAGCAGCGACAGCGGAUGCCUGGCGUCAAACCGGGCCAGGUGUACACCUACCCGGCCAAACGCUGGGUCAAACGCCGCCGACAGUACCUCAACUUCUUCAUGCAGCCCAAGAAGUUCGCCCUGGAGGAGUGCGAGCUGUCGAUCGCGUCCGUCCAGAACCCCACCUUCACGGAGGAUAGCGUCAACAGCGUGAACGAGGGGUCCAAGGAUGCCUGGUUCUAUGAGGAUGCUGAGAUGGACCGUGAUGACUUCGAGGAGAAUUCGGACAACUCCGACUUUGAUUUCGACGAUCGGUAUAGGAAAAAGAAGAAGUCGGCGACUGGAUCUAAACGCAGCUCGGGUCGCGGCAGCAGCAGUCGCCGGCGCACCGCCGAUCCAGAGGAUGACUCCAAGAAGCCGUGGGCCUGCGAGCGCUCCCGCGGCGGCCGAACGUCCCGCCAGGCGGCCGCUGCUGCCAGCGCCGCGCUCGCUGCCCAGGCCGACAUGGACAAACUGGCCAAGGCGGCGCCUCCUGCGGCGGCGGCCCAGGUGCCCGCUGCGCCGGCCAAGGCAGCCCAGCCGCCGGUUGAGGGUGAGAAGAAGCGCACGGCGCCCUCGCUGUACUGCGACUUCUGUCUGGGAGACGCUCAACACAACAAGAAGACGGGCGCGCCCGAGGAGCUCGUCUCGUGCUCCGAUUGCGGACGAUCAGGUCACCCGACUUGCCUCCAGUUUACCGACAACAUGGUGAUCUCGGUGAAAAAGUACCGCUGGCAGUGCAUCGAGUGCAAGUGCUGCUCACUGUGCGGCACCUCUGAUAACGACGACCAGCUGCUGUUCUGCGACGACUGUGACCGCGGCUACCACAUGUACUGUCUGUCACCGCCGCUGACGGAGCCGCCGGAGGGCUCCUGGAGCUGCCACCUGUGUGUGCGCGAGUUCCACGCGGGUGUCCAGCCGGCGUCCGUGCCCCAGCCGGCCCAGUGAGCGGGGUCAGUACCGGCGGUGGUGGGGAAGCCGGCGGUUACAGUGGCGCGGACACGGCAGACGGCCGGCGCAGAGGUGGAAAAGACAGUGGGAGGAAGAGGACAGAGACGGAUGCGAUGGGAGGGGAGGACAGCAAAGGAGUGGAAAAAGAGAGGGACGAGUGGAGGAGGAAAGGAACAGAGAAGAAACAGGAGAUAAUGUGUGGGGAAUGCAAGAAUACAGCACCAAGCAGCAGCUGUUGGCAGGUCGUUAGCCAGCGGACUAUUCUGUUGACUGCAUGGCCAGUCUGCAACACUGGCUGGUCAGACCAGUCGGUCAUUGAUCAGUCAGUCAACAGUGGUGACUGAAUGGACUCGUAGCCUCAGCAGCAUUAACCUCAGCAGUCUCAUCCUCAGUCGUACCAGGCACUUCUCAUGCCAUGGAAACGGCCUGCGGUGCUCGCAGCUGGCUGUUGCCAAUCUAAGCUUGCCAGAUGCAAAGAGCUCAGCCGUUUUUUAGUCUGACCAGUCGUCAUGCUUCAAGUCUAGACAGUGCUACCCUGUGAGAAAACAGAUGGAUCUGCUGUUGUAUCAUGCCGUUGAUCGGAAAUUGAGCUUUGUAUUGAAAGCUGUCCCGUGGUCGAGUGCGCCGUUCCAUUUUACAUCAAUUUGUUUUCAGUUACUGCUUGUGUUUUGCCGCGGUUCUGUUCAUUUGCGAGUGAGCUCUCAGUCUCUGGGAUGUGUAUGGGUGCUGUAUGAUUUCCUUGCCGAAUUGGAAAAUGACAGGCCAGGCUAGGUGAAAACUGAAAAUCGACUAGCAUCAGCUAAGCUAAGUCGAGCUGAGUUCCGUAGGUGUGGGCGGCCUUGUUGCGCUGGUCCAGGAGCUGACCAUUUCCAAUUACCAUCGAAGGAAGCUGAUGUUUGCAAAAUGUAGUAAAUGUGCGCGUAUGAUCUAUCCUCUCGUCUAGCGACUUCGCGUGGUUUCCAAUUGUGUAAGGACCGUGGCGUUGAAGAAUUGCGCUAUUUGAAUUUAUCCAUUGUGCUAUCUCAGUUUUCACCACAUUUCUCACUUUUGUUUGGCAGUGUUCCAAGUACUGUUUAGGAAUAGUGAGAGGUUUUUGUAUGGGCUCGUAGACGUUGUGUCUAUUCUGGCAUGCGGGACUUUUCCCCUGAACAAAUGUGACCUGGAAAUACAGCGUCAGUUCUGAACGGUUAAACCGUA
rnacentral:misc_RNA from 1 species